GCGCCCGUAGCUCAGUUGGAUAGAGCAUCCGCCUUCUAAGCGGAGGGUCGCAGGUUCGAAUCCUGCCGGGCGCG
rnacentral:tRNA from 1 species